rnacentral:rRNA from 1 species
GAUGAACGCUGGCGGCGUGCCUAAUACAUGCAAGUCGAGCGAACAGACGAGGAGCUUGCUCCUUCGACGUUAGCGGCGGACGGGUGAGUAACACGUAGGUAACCUACCUAUAAGACUGGGAUAACUUCGGGAAACCGGAGCUAAUACCGGAUAAUAUUUCGAACCGCAUGGUUCGAUAGUGAAAGAUGGCUUUGCUAUCACUUAUAGAUGGACCUGCGCCGUAUUAGCUAGUUGGUAAGGUAACGGCUUACCAAGGCAACGAUACGUAGCCGACCUGAGAGGGGGAUCGGCCACACUGGAACGGAGACACGCCCCAGCCUCCUACGGGAGGCACCAGUGGGGAAUCUUCCGCAAUGGGCGAAAGCCUGACGGAGCACCGCCGCGUGAGUGAUAAGGGUCUCCGGAUCGAAAAACUUUUUUAUGAGGAAAAAACAAAGGUGAAAUAAACUGUGCACGUCUUGACGGUCCCUAAUCAAAAACCCCCGCCUAACUACGUC